UCAUCUGAGUUGAAAUAAGAUUAAAAUUCUGACUCAAAACUUCUAAUAUGUUCAUCUUCUGUCUAAUUAGUUGAUUUCAAGGUCAAACCUGCAGAACCCCGAUUUGAAUCAGAAAGUAAAGUUUUUUUAGAUACUCAGAGCUCUUCCUCGCAACUGUUUCGUGGAAAGAAGAAUACAGAAAUGCAGGCAUAUGUAAGCAAGUAUCACAAGGCUCGAUCUGGACCCAGCCCGAUAGGGAACCGGAACCCACCGUUCAAGCCGUGAUAUAAUAGGUAUGAAAUUUCUUCAUGCAAGUGAAAGUGAGUGGGUAGUGUAACAAUGUAAGUUCAAUAAGGUUGCAUGUAUUUGAGUCGGUUUGCUGACUUGAUGUAUGGGGUACAUAACUUUAUUCUGAGUUUUUAAUAAUAGAGGAAAGAACUUAUGGAGA